rnacentral:rRNA from 1 species
GAACGCGAAAGGGUCCUUCGAGAUCUGAGUAGAAUGGCGUCCGGGUGAGUAACACGUAGGUAAUCUACUUUUGGGUGGGGAAUAAGUCUAGGGAUAGCUUGAGCAUAAUAGCCGCAAUAAGCAUGGANAAGAUCGAUAGCGGGGGAUCGCAAGACCUCGAGCCUGAAGAGGAGCAUGCGUAUGAUUAGCUAGUUGAUAGGGUAAUGGCAUACCAAGGUUUUGAUCAUUAGGUGGUGUGAGAGGACGGCCAGCCACAUUGGCACUGAAACACGGACCAAACUCAUACGGGAGGCAGCAGUAGGGUAUUGUGGGCAAUGGGCGCAAGCGUGACCCAACAAUGCCGCGUGAACGAUGAAGUCAUUCGGGAUGUAAAGUUCGGAAGUAAGGAUAAGAAAAGCUCCGGAAUAACAAGUCGGAGUUCUGACGGUACCUUAUAUAAGCCCCGGCUAAAUACGUG